rnacentral:rRNA from 1 species
AGAGUUUGAUCCUGGCUCAGAACGAACGCUGGCGGCGCGUCUUAAGCAUGCAAGUCGAACGGGAUUCAGUAGCUUGCUACUGAUGAGAGUGGCGGACUGGUGAGUAACACGUAGGUGACAUGCCUUUUGGUUGGGGAUAGCCUGUGGAAACACAGGGUAAUACCGAAUAAUAUCGCGGGUUCUGGCCCGCGAUGAAAGGAGCUUCGGCUCCGCCGACAGAUUGGCCUGCGGCCCAUCAGCUAGUAGGUGAGGUAAAGGCCCACCUAGGCAAUGACGGGUAUCCGGCCUGAGAGGGUGAUCGGACACAUUGGGACUGAGAUACGGCCCAGACUCCUACGGGAGGCAGCAGCUAAGAAUAUUCCGCAAUGGGCGAAAGCCUGACGGAGCGACGCCGCGUGGAUGAUGAAGGCCGUGAGGUUGUAAAAUCCUUUUGUGAGUGAGGAAUAAGCGGGCCAGGGAAUGGGCCCGUGGUGACUGUAGCUCACGAAUAAGCACCGGCUAAUUACGUGCCAGCAGCCGCGGUAACACGUAAGGUGCAAGCGUUGUUCGGAAUUAUUGGGCGUAAAGGGCAUGCAGGCGGUCUGGUAAGUUAGGCGUGAAAUCCCGGGGCUCAACCCCGGAACUGCGCUUGAUACUGCUGGACUAGAGUCAGUGAGGGGAGACUAGAAUUCCAGGUGUAGGGGUGAAAUCUGCAGAUAUCUGGAAGAAUACCGGUGGCGAAGGCAGGUCUCUAGCACAUGACUGACGCUCAUAUGCGAAGGUGCGGGGAGCAAACAGGAUUAGAUACCCUGGUAGUCCGCACAGUAAACUAUGCACACUUGGUGUCUGCGCUUGAGCGUGGGUGCCGUAGCUAACGCUUUAAGUGUGCCGCCUGGGGAGUAUGCCCGCAAGGGUGAAACUCAAAGGAAUUGACGGGGGCCCGCAAAAGCGGUGGAUUAUGUUGUUUAAUUCGAUGAUACGCGAGGAACCUUACCUGGGUUUGACAUACAGGGGAAUGCGUUGGAGACAACG